GUGACUGCGUACCUUUUGUAUAAUGGGUCAGCGACUUAUAUUCUGUAGCAAGGUUAACCGUAUAGGGGAGCCGGAGGGAAACCGAGUCUUAAUUGGGCGUUAAGUUGCAGGGUAUAGACCCGAAACCCGGUGAUCUAGCCAUGGGCAGGUUGAAGGUUGGGUAACACUAACUGGAGGACCGAACCGACUAAUGUUGAAAAAUUAGCGGAUGACCUGUGGCUGGGGGUGAAAGGCCAAUCAAACCGGGAGAUAGCUGGUUCUCCCCGAAAGCUAUUUAGGUAGCGCCUCGUGAAUUCAUCUCCGGGGGUAGAGCACUGUUUCGGCUAGGGGGCCAUCCCGGCUUACCAACCCGAUGCAAACUGCGAAUACCGGAGAAUGUUAUCACGGGAGACACACGGCGGGUGCUAACGUCCGUCGUGAAGAGGGAAACAACCCAGACCGCCAGCUAAGGUCCCAAAGUCAUGGUUAAGUGGGAAACGAUGUGGGAAGGCCCAGACAGCCAGGAUGUUGGCUUAGAAGCAGCCAUCAUUUAAAGAAAGCGUAAUAGCUCACUGGUCGAGUCGGCCUGCGCGGAAGAUGUAACGGGGCUAAACCAUGCACCGAAGCUGCGGCAGCGAACGUAUCACCCAAGACAACUUUACGGAGUUGACGAUUGACGGAGCGAAGCGACGUCAAAGCGUUCAUUAAAGUCGAGUUGGCUUAGGGAUACGUUCGUUGGGUAGGGGAGCGUUCUGUAAGCCUGUGAAGGUGUGUCGUGAGGCAUGCUGGAGGUAUCAGAAGUGCGAAUGCUGACAUAAGUAACGAUAAAGCGGGUGAAAAGCCCGCUCGCCGGAAGACCAAGGGUUCCUGUCCAACGUUAAUCGGGGCAGGGUGAGUCGACCCCUAAGGCGAGGCCGAAAGGCGUAGUCGAUGGGAAACGGGUUAAUAUUCCCGUACUUGGUGUUACUGCGAAGGGGGGACGGAGAAGGCUAUGUUGGCCGGGCGACGGUUGUCCCGGUUUAAGCGUGUAGGUGUGUGUUCCAGGUAAAUCCGGUUCACUUUAACACUGAGGCGUGACGACGAGGCACUACGGUGCUGAAGCAACAAAUGCCCUGCUUCCAGGAAAAGCCUCUAAGCAUCAGGUAACACGAAAUCGUACCCCAAACCGACACAGGUGGUCAGGUAGAGAAUACCAAGGCGCUUGAGAGAACUCGGGUGAAGGAACUAGGCAAAAUGGUGCCGUAACUUCGGGAGAAGGCACGCUGACACGUAGGUGAAGUGAUUUACUCAUGGAGCUGAAGUCAGUCGAAGAUACCAGCUGGCUGCAACUGUUUAUUAAAAACACAGCACUGUGCAAACACGAAAGUGGACGUAUACGGUGUGACGCCUGCCCGGUGCCGGAAGGUUAAUUGAUGGGGUCAGCGCAAGCGAAGCUCCUGAUCGAAGCCCCGGUAAACGGCGGCCGUAACUAUAACGGUCCUAAGGUAGCGAAAUUCCUUGUCGGGUAAGUUCCGACCUGCACGAAUGGCGUAAUGAUGGCCAGGCUGUCUCCACCCGAGACUCAGUGAAAUUGAACUCGCUGUGAAGAUGCAGUGUACCCGCGGCAAGACGGAAAGACCCCGUGAACCUUUACUAUAGCUUGACACUGAACAUUGAGCCUUGAUGUGUAGGAUAGGUGGGAGGCUUUGAAGUGUGGACGCCAGUCUGCAUGGAGCCGACCUUGAAAUACCACCCUUUAAUGUUUGAUGUUCUAACGUGGACCCGUAAUCCGGGUUGCGGACAGUGUCUGGUGGGUAGUUUGACUGGGGCGGUCUCCUNGGGGGCCAUCCCGGCUUACCAACCCGAUGCAAACUGCGAAUACCGGAGAAUGUUAUCACGGGAGACACACGGCGGGUGCUAACGUCCGUCGUGAAGAGGGAAACAACCCAGACCGCCAGCUAAGGUCCCAAAGUCAUGGUUAAGUGGGAAACGAUGUGGGAAGGCCCAGACAGCCAGGAUGUUGGCUUAGAAGCAGCCAUCAUUUAAAGAAAGCGUAAUAGCUCACUGGUCGAGUCGGCCUGCGCGGAAGAUGUAACGGGGCUAAACCAUGCACCGAAGCUGCGGCAGCGAACGUAUCACCCAAGACAACUUUACGGAGUUGACGAUUGACGGAGCGAAGCGACGUCAAAGCGUUCAUUAAAGUCGAGUUGGCUUAGGGAUACGUUCGUUGGGUAGGGGAGCGUUCUGUAAGCCUGUGAAGGUGUGUCGUGAGGCAUGCUGGAGGUAUCAGAAGUGCGAAUGCUGACAUAAGUAACGAUAAAGCGGGUGAAAAGCCCGCUCGCCGGAAGACCAAGGGUUCCUGUCCAACGUUAAUCGGGGCAGGGUGAGUCGACCCCUAAGGCGAGGCCGAAAGGCGUAGUCGAUGGGAAACGGGUUAAUAUUCCCGUACUUGGUGUUACUGCGAAGGGGGGACGGAGAAGGCUAUGUUGGCCGGGCGACGGUUGUCCCGGUUUAAGCGUGUAGGUGUGUGUUCCAGGUAAAUCCGGUUCACUUUAACACUGAGGCGUGAUGACGAGGCACUACGGUGCUGAAGCAACAAAUGCCCUGCUUCCAGGAAAAGCCUCUAAGCAUCAGGUAACAUCAAAUCGUACCCCAAACCGACACAGGUGGUCAGGUAGAGAAUACCAAGGCGCUUGAGAGAACUCGGGUGAAGGAACUAGGCAAAAUGGUGCCGUAACUUCGGGAGAAGGCACGCUGACACGUAGGUGAAGUGAUUUACUCAUGGAGCUGAAGUCAGUCGAAGAUACCAGCUGGCUGCAACUGUUUAUUAAAAACACAGCACUGUGCAAACACGAAAGUGGACGUAUACGGUGUGACGCCUGCCCGGUGCCGGAAGGUUAAUUGAUGGGGUCAGCGCAAGCGAAGCUCCUGAUCGAAGCCCCGGUAAACGGCGGCCGUAACUAUAACGGUCCUAAGGUAGCGAAAUUCCUUGUCGGGUAAGUUCCGACCUGCACGAAUGGCGUAAUGAUGGCCAGGCUGUCUCCACCCGAGACUCAGUGAAAUUGAACUCGCUGUGAAGAUGCAGUGUACCCGCGGCAAGACGGAAAGACCCCGUGAACCUUUACUAUAGCUUGACACUGAACAUUGAGCCUUGAUGUGUAGGAUAGGUGGGAGGCUUUGAAGUGUGGACGCCAGUCUGCAUGGAGCCGACCUUGAAAUACCACCCUUUAAUGUUUGAUGUUCUAACGUGGACCCGUAAUCCGGGUUGCGGACAGUGUCUGGUGGGUAGUUUGACUGGGGCGGUCUCCUCCUAAAGAGUAACGGAGGAGCACGAAGGUUGGCUAAUCCUGGUCGGACAUCAGGAGGUUAGUGCAAUGGCAUAAGCCAGCUUGACUGCGAGCGUGACGGCGCGAGCAGGUGCGAAAGCAGGUCAUAGUGAUCCGGUGGUUCUGAAUGGAAGGGCCAUCGCUCAACGGAUAAAAGGUACUCCGGGGAUAACAGGCUGAUACCGCCCAAGAGUUCAUAUCGACGGCGGUGUUUGGCACCUCGAUGUCGGCUCAUCACAUCCUGGGGCUGAAGUAGGUCCCAAGGGUAUGGCUGUUCGCCAUUUAAAGUGGUACGCGAGCUGGGUUUAGAACGUCGUGAGACAGUUCGGUCCCUAUCUGCCGUGGGCGCUGGAGAACUGAGGGGGGCUGCUCCUAGUACGAGAGGACCGGAGUGGACGCAUCACUGGUGUUCGGGUUGUCAUGCCAAUGGCACUGCCCGGUAGCUAAAUGCGGAAGAGAUAAGUGCUGAAAGCAUCUAAGCACGAAACUUGCCCCGAGAUGAGUUCUCCCUGAGACUUAGAGUCUCCUGAAGGAACGUUGAAGACGACGACGUUGAUAGGCCGGGUGUGUAAGCGCAGCGAUGCGUUGAGCUAACCGGUACUAAUGAACCGUGAGGCUUAACCUU
rnacentral:rRNA from 1 species